rnacentral:rRNA from 1 species
UACGUAGGGGGCGAGCGUUGUCCGAAUUUACUGGGCGUAAAGAGCGUGUAGGCGGACUCUUAAGUGAGGGGUGAAAGUUUUAGGCUCAACCUAAAAAGUGCCUUUCAUACUGGGAGUCUUGAGUGUGGGAGAGGCGAGUGGAAUUCCUGGUGUAGCGGUGAAAUGCGUAGAUAUCAGGAGGAACACCCAUGGCGAAGGCAGCUCGCUGGCCUACAACUGACGCUGAGACGCGAAAGCGUGGGGAGCAAACAGG